rnacentral:rRNA from 1 species
UACAGAGGGGGCAAGCGUUGUUCGGAAUUACUGGGCGUAAGGGGCGCGUAGGCGGCCUUCUAAGUCGAACGUGAAAUCCCUGGGCUCAACCCAGGAACUGCGUCCGAUACUGGAAGGCUUGAAUCCGGGAGAGGGAUGCGGAAUUCCAGGUGUAGCGGUGAAAUGCGUAGAUAUCUGGAGGAACACCGGUGGCGAAGGCGGCAUCCUGGACCGGUAUUGACGCUGAGGCGCGAAAGCCAGGGGAGCAAACGGG